UACCAAAAAAUCAUAAAAGCUAUCCACCAUAAUAUCAAAAUAACAAAAAAACCAUGAAAAAUAAAAGAGGGGACAACCCCUACAUUUUUGGACAAGGAUUAAACACUAAAAAUAAAUUAUCACAUAAAGCAUAUUAAGCUAAAAAAAAUGCAACUUAAGCAUAGAUCAAGGCAUAGGUAACAUAAAAAUUACAUUUUCUUGCAUAAUAACAUAAAACCAAACAAGAAAAUUUUAAAAUAUCUAAAAUGGUGGAAUAUAGCACAAACCUCUAAAAUACUAGCCUCUAAUACAUCUUUUUCCUUAUUAUUAGAGGUAGAACCUUCUAAGAAAGAAACAAAUCUAAAAUAAAUACAUAGAGACUUAAUGAAAAUAAAAUCUAAAUGCAUGAAUAACAUAAAUAGAUAUAUGAGAACUUAUUUCUAGCCUUAGUUUGAAAAAAAAUACUAAGAUUUUAGAUGAGAGAGAAAGAGGUAGAUUAGGUUUUAGUGAGAGAAAGCUUAGCAAAUGGUGAAAAUCCAAGAUUUUGAUGUAAAAAGUCACUUCCUUAGCUUAGGUACUUAAAUAUUUUUGCUUGAACUUGUUCAAAAAUGGUGUCUUUGAUGGUGUUGUAAAAAAAAAAAUGGAGAGAGAGAGAGAGAGAGAGAGAGAGCUUGGGUUUGGGUGGCUAGGGUUUUGAUGAAG
rnacentral:lncRNA from 1 species